rnacentral:tRNA from 2 species
UCGGCGGCAGCGCGACGGCGGGCUGCCGGUGUUCCGGUCGCCGGGCGAGGCGGUGGCGACCCUGGAGCGGUUGUCCCGCUUCCGCCGGGCC